UUUUAGCCCUGAUUAAAGUGAAAAUCCUUUCUAGUUCUGAAAUUGUUUCAGGAUUCUGAAACAAUUUCAGAACUAGAAAGAUUGUAGCGGAAAGCAGGAAAUAGC
rnacentral:sRNA from 1 species